UCCCUUCUCUUUUCAAAACUCCUGAUAAUCUCUCACAGUGCUCUGCUCUUCUGCACUUGGAUCCUAAAUCACCUGAAGCUCAAGCUUUUAAUCAAAUUGGUCAGAAAUCCAAUGGUGGUUCUAUCAGUCCUUCGCCCACUACUUCUGCUGAAGGAAGUUCCCAGAAUGGUAGAAACCAGGGGACAGAUGAAACGGCCACAGCUAAGAAGAAUAGUGCGUCUUAUAUCGGGAAGAGAUUGUUAGAAAGUUUGGUUGCAGUUGCAGGGCUUCUAAUUUGGCUUUCAUGAGCUUAACUCAAAUACUACCUAUAUAUUACCAUUUUCAUAUCACGUUGAAAUGUAAACCAUUGAUUAGUUGAUAGUGUAAAAAUAUUUACACUCGAGUGUAUUAAAUCUCUGACAGACUCACAAUAGACAUUAUUGCAAAACCUUAUUGGAGAUUUAUUUUUGUGAGCAUUUUGCCUUUAAUCUCAUACAACUAAAUGCUUGUUACACAAAUCUUAUUGUUCAGUCCUAAAAUUCUUUUAUCUCUAAUAAGAAAUAACGACUUGUUGUAAUAGAAAUUAAAAUCUUGUUAUUUUUUUUAAGUACAC